CUUUUGUCGUCUCUUGUUAUCAUCUCUUCUGCACUAUUACUAUUUAAGGCGUUGAGGGAAUUUAAUCGUAAAAGCUUUUGAUAGCAGAACGAAAGGCGAUAUUUUUAUAUAUUUCAGUCAACUCAACUAUGCAUUGCAAGAAAGACGAUUGUUGCAGAAUGAAUGACUCAUCCAAGGUUAGUAAAUUAAUC